GCCCGCCCCGGGGGCGCGGCGAGCACCGCUCGGCUCCGCUCGGGACCGUGCCCGUCCUCCCCACACAGCCUCCUCGCCCUGCCACACGGCGCCUUAAGAGUUUCCCUUGCGUCUUUUCUCCUGCCGGCGGGACACCAGACCGCAAGGUUUUCGCCUCGAGCACCACGGAGGAGCUCCGGCGAGGCUGCCACAGGGCACGCCCCGGGCAGGGGGGCUGAGGGAGCACCUGUGCCCUGCACGGCCCCAGCGCUGCCCACCCCAACCCCGCCGGACUGCACCUCACAGCUGAAACACAUCACCUCCCUCCAACAAGCAACAGCUGAAACUCAUCGGCUGCUCUCAGCCUGCAGAACCACGAGGGGAAAGGCUUCACCUGCAAGGCGACAUUAGCGAGGUUCAACCUCGCCACACGCGCAGAAAAACAUCACAAAGCGCCAUACCAUGGCCUCCUUUAAAGUUAAAAAAAAUCCAACCACAAUAAAGAGCCCCACAUUAACGCUAUUGACAAAAAGCAGAACAGAUCUCCCGAAGAACCUCGCGUGAAAUACGUUUACCUUCUAUUUACUACCCAAGACUGCACCAGGAGCGCUUGGACACCGGGAAACGCGAAUUCCCAAAGGCACGUCUGGGCAUCGUCACUCCGAGCUGAAUUAGACCUGUCUGAGCUUUCACCGUUCUGUCACAGAAGGAGCAAAGGAGGCAGCAGGGCUCGGAGUGAGUGGCUCCAGGUGUCAACUGAGCAAACUCAGGAUCAGCUGCAGCUCUUCCAGAGUGCGUGUCCACGUGCAGAAUAUUCCGGAACAGGCCUCCUCCGCAUCAGUCAUCAGCUUCAAUUACCAGUUUUCCGGAGCCGAGCCAUCAGGCAGUCUGACACGAGGGUCCAACCUAAUUCCCACCUUCUCCAAAGUCAAGAGCAUAAUGUGCAGAUGAAAAGGUGGAAAAUAGCCUGGACUUCAUUAGCAUGCAGAGCCCGGCUGUUCAUUUGCUUGCUGCGAAUGGAAGUUCUGACACUCGGCGCCUUCUGCAAUAUGAGAAAAGUCCUCUUCAGAGUAUAUGAUGUCCUCACCAGCCAGCAAAGGUCAUCAAAAAGGCAGGCGCUGACCUUGCUCCCUGCUCUUCAUGACUAGUUUAUUGAUUCCAGGAACACCUCAUUACAUGCCGGAUCAACAUAUUAUUGCCAUGUUCAGCGGCUGAAUUGUUUACAAGUGUCUUUAUAACCAGCAGAAAGCCUUCCGGAUGAUGCAUGACUACACUCAUUUGGAUGUGACCUGCCAAUUAGAUGUUAUCCGAUACGGUGCCGUGUGUCUUGAUCCCUGACCGGGCCCGCUGCCCCGCAUCAGCACGGGCCCAUUUACUACUUCUUUCUAACGGCUCUUUGGGAAAGUGUCCAUUAGCCUGUCAGUCUGUAAAUAUUUUAUUUUUGUACCUCGGCGCCGCCGGCGCUCCCGCUCCGUCAUUUGCGAUGCAUGAGGUUCAUAAUCAGCUGGGGGAAGCGGGGGUGUUUUAUGGCUGCUGAUAACCCACCCCAUUUGCAGUCAGCGUGCGCGGCGAGCGCUCCCGAGCCGCGUGCCGGCCCGGCGCACACACCCGGCAUAUUUUAUUCAGGCUGCUGAUUUAUCGGCGGGGGGAAGGCAGGAGGGAACAGCCCCACCCCGUCCCCAGCCUGCCUUCCCCUGCCUCUAAAGGCCACAUAACUUACCACCCAGCAAAUGCACGCCCCCCUUCCCCAUGCACUCGAUGGUUUCAUUCCCCCCAUGAAUACACGGCCCAGACGCUCAUCCCGGCGGCUCGGGGAAUUUACACGCGCGGGGACACCGGAAUUCCACAAAUCAAUCACACAGCACAACUACUGUUUUAAUCUCUCAUUACAGACACUUGUGGGGCUCCAUAACACAGAGAGUGGCACGGCAACUCGAUGGGAGAGUCCGUAAAGAGACAUCUCAGUGCCAAAAAGCGGCGCUGGGAAUGUGCCUUUCAGGCACCCCUUGGGACAGGCUGGAUUUGCCUUUUCCCGCCUCAGGGUGCAUCACCCUGAGAUGACAAAGGAAAUCCCGGAUGUGGCUGAGGUGGCAGUGCCAGGAUUUCCAUGGUACUCGAGGCCUAGCAAAUGCAGGCGCACAUAGAGCUGUGCCCAGAGCUCUGCAAACAUUAAUUAAACUACCCAGCGCCGCUUGGCAAGUGUCAGUGCUGAGAUCCUCAUGCUGAGGUUAAAUCCAGGGACCAAAGGGGCUUAAGAGCUUCCAGGGUGAACCAUCAACACCAAAGAUCUCCAGUGUCCUGCACUGCAGAGCCAGUGUUGCUCAGAGCGAGGGAUGGCCCGUGCUGGGUGACAGAAAGCACCUGGGUGACAGAAAGCACCUGGGCGUCUGGUUCCCUCCUUACAACAUGCAGCAUUCAGGCAUCAGGGCUGGAAAAGGGGGAUUUGAAUUCCUUAAAGCAGCACGUUUACCUUCCAAAAUAAAAACUGGGUUUGCAUGUAGUUAGAGCUGGGGCAAAACACAGUCUCAGUCUGAACAGCCUCAGGCUCCAGAGAUGGCACAGUGCAUUGAUCUCAGUUUUGGAAAGGAGGGAAUAAAAGCCUCCCUUUCCUGGCGAAUCCUUGGGUCUGGGCAGCCCUGGAGCUGCCAGUGUUGAAUAUUCAGAGGGCUGAUUCACCAUGGUGAAUCAUGGCACUGCAGCCAGGUAACACUGUGCCCAGCAUGGGCUGGCACAGCAGGAAUUGAACCUGUGAGCUCCAAAUCCCCACUGGGAUCUCCACCUGGGGGCUGGGAUCUCCCUCCCGCAGCAGAGGUACCAGGUCUUGGCCUGGCCCACAGCACCGUGCUGAGUCUGGCAUUAUUUAUGCUGUGAUAAGGCUGCAGUGGUUUAUCAAGCCCCAGACAUCCAUCCAAAUUUGGCACCUGAUCCCUUCACUUCUGUUUACGGCCCUAUUUCUGGAUUCCUGCUUGUGGUAAAUUCUGUCUUUAAAUGGGAGAGAAAAAUCAGCUCUUUACGACAGCAAACAUGAAAGUUGCGUGACUAUGGAGAGGAGCAUUAACCUUUCCUUUAGCCUAGAGAACUUCAUAAUCUCUUUAAAAUCAACUUUCUAUUAAUUUUAGAGUGAUGCUUAAUGCCUGAAGGGUGUGAGGAGCCAUGGCAUCGCCAGGGGAACUCUUGGCAACUGUAAUUUAAGGUCAGGCCUGGGGUGCUGUGGGAGCCACGAUCCUGCCCUGCUGUCCUGCCCCACUGCCCAGGUCAAGUGGCACCAGGAGGGGCCACAGCCCCCCCACCUUGGUGGCCUUUACAGGAGGCACCUUAGCAGAAAAUUUAGGUGGUCACUGCAUUUAUUCACGGCACCCAGUGUGCAAAUUUAAUUUUCCUUCUCGUUGCACUCCAGCAGAGUAAUUGGGCAGGGCAGGGCAGGAACAAAGGACAAGGUCAGUCACUUGUCUGGCAAAUGGAAUUACACGUUGCUCCGAGGAGCAGUUUGGAAACCACAUUCCCUGGCUGUGUCCCACCAAUGUCAAAGUCAGAAGAGAUGAGCAGGGCAGGAGAGGUGGUGGCCAGCCCUGUGUGUUCGGAAGGGCUUGGGUUGUUUGGAGCUUAGUGAUGGUGCUGACAGCAUUGAGUGCUUAUGGAUGAGAACCAGGGACAGGUACCCUGGUGGGAGGCUGCUCUGGACCCUCAGCCAGGAUGGAGACACAGCCAAGUACUCUGUAAGCAGCUGAGAGAAGCCUCACAGCUCUUGUUAUGGGGGACUUCAACUUACCAGGUGUCAGCUGGAAAUAGGGAACAGCAGAGAGGAGACGGUCCAGGAGGCUCCUGGAGUGUGUGGAAGAGAAAUUCCUGACUUGGGAGGCUGAGGAGAGACCUUAUGGCUCUCUGCAGCUGCCUGAGAGGAGGGUGUAGCCAGGUGGGGCCGGUCCCUUCUCCCAGGUAACAUGUGACCCCCGAGAGGGGAAACAGACCGGCCCCAUGGCACACACCAGCCUCUCCGGAGGGGGGGCUGCAGCCCCCUCCACAUGCGGGGAUGGGGGGUUUUAUUAGUUACUGCCAGUUAGUUAUUUUACAUAUUGUCACUGAUGGGGUUUUGGUGCAGGGAGCUGCUGAUAUUUCAGGGAUCAGGAGGGUGAGUGUCUGCCGUGCAGCUGAAUCCCGGGACAGGGCUCCAAAGCUCCGGCCGCCGGUGCAGCCCUCGCUGAGUGUUCCCAAACUGAAUAGUCAUUGGGUUGGCAGAUAAUUCAGAAACUAUUUGUAUGAGCUGUUUAUCAAAUUAUUAACUGCACAGAUGUUGUUUGGUUGAAGAGCAGCUGAACCUUCUCUCUGCCAGCCGUGGAGACAAAGGUCUGCAGGAAUAAUUGGAGAUGUGCAUGGAAUAUUAAACUAAUUUACUGCUCUUAAUUCUUAUGCAAAUCCUGACCUCUGAUAGAGCCUAUCAAUUACCCUGCACACAGGGAAAAGAAAGGAGAACAGUUUCUUUCUUUUCUUUUCCCCCCUCUCCUUUUUUUCCUGUUGUUCUCCAGUUUGGGGUUUUGUUUCUUUUUUUCUUUCUCCCUUUUGAAAGGGAACUUGGGAAAGGAAAUAUUUGGGGCAGGAAAAAAGCCAUUUAUUUGUGGGAGAAGCAAAGGGUUGGGGUUAUUUAAUUGAAUCUCCUGGUUGCAGCGAUGUCCCCCAGGGAGUCCGGGUGCAGUCUUUAAGACUGGGGCACCUCAAGGAAGGCCUGGGAAUGGAGGCCAGAGCUGGGCUGGAAUAGCUCCACACACUUCCCUAGGAGGGGCUGGAGGGCCCAGCUCUGCCAGCACUGUGUUGGGCUGGGACAGGACUGGAGGCUGGGUGGAUUUUGAUGAGACUGGGGGCAGGAAGGGUCCAGCUGGGGGUUCGGGUGGGUUAUCGGGAAGGGCUUCCCACCACUGGGAGCCAGGCUGGUUCUGCCAGUAAUUACCAGGGAAGAAGGAAGGGAAUUUGUUGUCACAUCUAUUGUGAGGUGCCAGGUAAAAUGAAGCAGGAUUUAAUUGGUCCUCGUUAAACAGAGCUGGUUUUCUGGCAGGCAGAAAGGCCUGGUGCGGGCAGUGUUUAAUUGGGGUUGUGUGCGCUCUGCUCAGCCAGCGCUCAGAGGAGCACUCCGGGCCCUGUGCUUUCAUCGUGCUUUCUAAUAAGGAUAAAGAAAUAGGAUGAAUAAUGCCAGGGUCUCUCCCUCGACCCCUGCAGCACAGCGCUGUUCCCCCUGAGCCGCUCCCCGAUAUCCGUGGAUCCAACACGGGUGGGAUCCCUCGGCGAGCAGCAGCCGGCGCAGCCCCCUGGGCUCCGUUAGCACGGGAAGAGGGGAGCAAAAGCCCCACUUCCACAGCCACGGAGCAGCCUGUUGGGGCUGGGAUGGGCAAUUCCUUGGUUAGUGAUUGUCAGAGUGGAGCACGAGGAUGGGGAUGGGGCUCAGGGCGGGGGAACAGCAGGGGAAAGAAGGAAAGGAAAAGAAAGGAGGGCAAAGAAAAUUAUUUUUUUCCUUUUUCUUUUUCUUUUUUUUUUUCUUUCCCCUAUCUGUAAAUCCCGGGAAGCACUGGGAGACUGCACUCCCCCUCCCACGCAGCCCACUCGGGUAAUUUCAUUUAUCCCACAAAUCUAAUUAGCAAUCCGUGGCUGACAUUAAUACGGAUCUAAUGAGGCCGGCGAUGACCAGAUUUGCGGGCGAGCGCUGACAGAGCCUUAAAGGCACAUCGCGCCCUGGCAUCGGCGGGACCAGGGCAGGGAAAGAGCUGCUUUAAAGAGGGGAAAAAAUGAAGGGGGAAAAAAAGGAAAGAAAGGAAAUUAAAAAAAAAAAAAAAAAAGAAAGGCCGAGGGAGGGGGGGAAAAACACGAAGAAAACCCCCGCGGGUCGGGCUUGGCUUAUUAAGGAAACUGGAGCUUUGCUGGGCGCAGCUUAUCCGACAGCAUCGGGCCUCCGUCCUGGCUUAUCCCGAAAUAAUGUUCUUCAAAGGAGAAAAAGGAGGGGGGGAAAAAAAAGGGAAAAAAAAAAAAAAAAAAAGGAAAGAAAGAAGAAGCCAGAGCCCACGGCGUCGCUGUGCAAUUUAUUCCGAGGGGUGGCUGUUGAGAAGGCGGCAAUUUGCGGCGGCCGGGGGUUAUUUAGUGCGAUAUGAAAUCAAAUGAUCCUAUUGCUCAAAUAACAGUGUCUGGGAGGAGAAGCGAGCCCGCUCCAAAGACAGCAGCAGACACUUAACCUGGGACUGGGUAACUCCUCUCAUCUGCUUGGACACAGGAGUGUCUGAAUUACUGGGGAAGCAGAGAGACCCAAAAUCUCCCUGACAUCCUCUCUGGAUGCUUGGCCUUGGAACAGCCUCAGUCAGGCAAUUUCUAGCUCCCUUCUGCUCGUGGAGUCUCUUGUGCCACACAGGAGACUGGAAAAGCACUUGGAAAUGGCUGAAGGGGAGGGAUGCUUCCUGGCAAAUGGUCUCUAAACCAGGCCCUUUCUGUGCUGUGGCUUUUCUGGGGCUCACCAACAACACGGAGCUGUAAACAAUGGUUGGUGCUGGAGGAACUCGUGUGGCCCGCCCUGUGGCAGCAGAUGCCACCCGCUGCAGCCGGACACUGUGUGUGCUGUUGGUGCGUCAGAAACGAGGAGAAACGGCUUUCAAGGAACUGUAACAUUUCAUAAAAGCAUUUUAUUGCAUUUAAAGCUAUUAAAAUGUAAACCUUACAUUCAACACGUUAAUUGCUGUUUCCAGGCAUGGCCACUGACGGUCGGAUCCUCUCAACUGCUCUGCUGCGGUCGCUCUCUGAUUACUGGUGUGUUAUUAGUGCUCUGUGUUUGGGACCUGAGUCAUUAACAAAAAGGGCUUCUGUGGGCAUUAUGUAAACUUGGUGUAUGUUUUGACAACGCUACCAGGGCCUGUGUUGGGGGUCUAAUUGAGAAGAAGAAAAGGAGGUGUGCCCUGACUUUCUGGGUCCAGGGGGCUUCCUCCCUUCCCUGGCUCUCAAGCAGAGGCUGGGGCAGACUCUGCAGAUCCACUGCUCGGGAAAAUCAGCAAAUCCCACGCUGGGGAUGCCUGGUAGAUGAGAGGCCAAGGGUGAGACAGGUGGAUGAUGUGGCACCUGGGGAGGAAAAGCCUGGAGGAGACAAGCAGGGGAGGAAAAGCUCUGGCAGAGACCUUUCCUUCUCUCUGUGCCGUCCCUUUUUCCCCCUGCAGGUGAGCCCCCCCGGGCCAGGUGCUCAGCUCGGUGAGGUGAAUCCCGCACCUUUCGGGAUAGGGUUACAUCCCAGAGGAGAGCAGGAUGCUAAAGGACACGUGGCUGCCUCCCUAAAUUAAACAGAGUGUAAAGCUGUUAAGAUUAGUGCACAUCAAUCCCUGCUUGAAUCAAGAGAUGCUUUGGUUUGGCAGCUACUGGGGACAAAAACCACCAUUUCAUUCAAAGUGUAUUUAAUGCGACAGAAGGAGGCAGAUUCCUUUGACAGUUUUACUGCUCUUAUCAGAUUACAUCAAAAUUAAAUUAAAACAAUCUAAAAGAAGUGUGAAGUACUGCAGGGAGAACACAAACAAAACACUCCUCUUUGUAGGCUUUCAGGGACAGGGACCACGUUCCUUAUCAGGGAAAGGAGGAAUAAGAUUAUUCUUGAGUCAAUUAUGAGCCUGUCUGUGGGAUCAGCGGCCACAGUGAGCACUGAGACAUGAACAGAGCGGGGAACACAUCCAGGGAACCAGGCUAAGGCUCCCUAUUCCCUUAAUUUUUGUUACAUAAACAGCAGGGUGUGGAGUUGUUCUUUCCUGACAACACCCUCCAGCCUCUCACAUCUACUCCAUGGAGCGAAAAAACCCUCCCAGGGCUGGGACAACCCCAAUGGGUCAGGGAGCAGCCCUUUUCCACCAAAACCUGGCAUCACUGUCUGGGGAUAAGGUUUCCAGCGUGUUAAUACAACCUGCGCUCGGCAUUUUAGACAGCACAGAAAGUGCUAGGAAGUUUUGUGCUACUUCAGGUAUUAUUUUAGCAAGCACAGAUAUUUUCAGAAGCAGUUGAGUCUCCCAGAACCAAACCUGGUGUGUGGCUGGGACAGGCUGAAGGAAGUUGGAGUCUUUCCUGGCUUUGAAAAAUAACAGAACUGUGGUGUGGGACAGUGUUUUCUUGUGCAGCCUCUGGCAGUUUCAGCCCUGGCACUCAGCGACACCUUAAAACCUGUGUUAGUCCCACAGAGAACAUUUCAUGGCUGACACUCUGAAAUAAUAAAAAUGAAAUAAUAAAAAACCAAAUAGUUUGUUUUCAUGUAGAUAUUAGCAGUGAAAAGCCUUCUGGAGGGGCAAAAAGCAAUUUUGACUCUAAGGCAACCAUGAAAGCCUUUUUAUUCCCAUUUUAUCAGCCCCUGGGACUAAGGGAGAACCUCACGCUGGACCAAGGCUUCAGGGAACUCGUAUCCCUACAUGUGGCUCCCAGGUCUGCACAUCCAUUGCCUGGUGAUCCCUGGAGCAGGAAAGCUCUGACCCCAGCCCAAGCCUUGCCCGCCUGGUGUGUUCUGAAUAACACAGUUAUUUAUACCGAUACACAGAGGUGAGCCAGGCUAAUCUGGGGGCUGCUGAGUCCCACUGUAUCCAUUCCACACAGCUUUUUACACUGAAUUUGAGUCUGGUGGAGCUGAGCUGGAGGCCGAGGGUGUUGGAAAACUCCAGGAAUGCUGCUGGAUAACCAAAACCCAGCUGAGGAACCCACCAGGUCCAGCACAGGCAGAGCCUGCAGCUCCAGCUGAUGCUUUCAUGUGGCUGUUGUUGGCCAGAAGAUCUAAGGAAGGAUAAUUAUGAUGAUGAUCUCGCACUAAUUGUACACUGAUUGCUGUUCUAAUUACGCUUAAGCAUUUCAUUGCUCUCCGCAAUUUUGUCUAUUGAUGUAGCGUUUCUCCUUAAUUUCAAUUACUCCCGUGGUAUUUAGACUUUAUUGGGGCACUGGAAUUCAAACGCUAAUUUGGCAACUUCCUUUCAAAGGGAUUGAAGUUUUUAUCUGGAAAUGAAAGAUGAGGUUUUUGUUUUCAUUCCCAGCUGGAGAUGGGAACACUGGGGGGCUUGUCGGGGUCGGAGGUGUGUCGUGACUUCUCCCACAUGGAUUUUGGUGAGGUGCCAUCACCAGAGGAACACAAUGGCACUCCAGAGGAUGAGGAAUCAGGUUUUUUCGUGAAAAAUGCAGCAUACAAUAAACUCAGGGAAAUCCGCUGCUGGAGGAGGGCCGUGUUACUGUAACUGCUGAGCAGCUCCCGGAUAUUUUUGGCAUUGGUGCUUUGCAAAGUCCCUGUUUCCCCAUUUUCCGGGGGCACAGAUCCCCGCCUCGCCCCAGCCUUCCUCCAGCACCAGGCCGGAGGCUUGUUUGGGCCCCACAGCCCCGGGAACAGCAGCAGGUGAGGUCGCAGGUGAUGCUGCUGACGGGAUGUGGCAGCGGGAACG